rnacentral:SRP_RNA from 1 species
CCCCUCUGCCCUGCCGGGCAUCUCCCCCACAAGGGUGGAGAUCGGCAAGUGGCAAUGUUCCGCCCAUCAAAUACCCAAUUCAUGGACUUUGCAGGUGCCUUGAUUUCGGCGUACGCAGCUGGCGUGGGGCAGAGCGGCGCUUCCAGCCAAUCUCCCCCCUUGUGGGGGAGAUGCCCGGCAGGGCAGAGGGGGGUGCCUCCGAUCACAGUAACGACCUGAUCGGGCCUUGUUCUAAGGUGCCCGGC